UUUUUUCUUUCUUCACUUCUUGGGUGCAGUCCCUGAGGCCCCUCUCCCGCCUUUUCCUCACAGUUUGGUACCAGGGGAGCCAGGGAAAUAAACUGAAGUUUGAAGAGGUUAAUUGUCCAAAACAGCCAGGAAUUGAACACAGCCAGGUCAUGGAAGCAACCUAAAUACCCAUUGACAGACGAAUGGAUAAAGAAGAUGUGGUACACAUAUACAAUGGAAUAUUACCCAGCCAUAAAAAGGAGCGAGACUGGGUCAUUUGUAGAGAUGUGGAUGGAUGUAGAGACUGUCAUACAGAGUGAGGUAAGUCAGAAAGAGAAAAACAAAUAUCGUAUAUUAAUGCAUAUAUGUGGAACCUAGAAAAAUGGUACAGAUGAACAGGUUUGCAGGGCAGAAACAGAGACACAGAUGUAGAGAACAAACGUAUGGACACCAAGGGGGAAAGUGGCUGGGGGCGGUGGUGGUGGUGGUGGUGGGAUAAAUUGGGAGAUUUUGAUGACGUAUACACACUAUAUGUAUAAAAUAGAUAACUAAUAAGA